rnacentral:rRNA from 1 species
GAUGAACGCUGGCGGCGUGCCUAACACAUGCAAGUCGAGCGAAGCACUCUACCUGAUUUCUUCGGGAUGAAGGUUUAGUGACUGAGCGGGCGUGGCAAGGUACGCUAGGUAACGUGCUCAUACAGGGGAUAACAGUUAGAAUGACUGCUAAUACCGCAGUAAGACCACAGCACCGCAUGGUGCAGGGGUAAAAACUCCGGUGGUAUGAGAUGGAUCCGCGUCUGAUUAGCUAGUUGGUAAGGUAACGGCUUACCAAGGCAACGAUCAGUAGCCGACCUGAGAGGGUGACCGGCCACAUUGGGGACUGAGACACGGCCCAA